CCUCUUACCUAGCAGGGGAGAUACCUUUAUCAGAAGGGAUGUUUUCCAAGGGGGAUGCUCAUCUGUUGCACUCCAAAUUUGCUGACCCCUGGUGAUUUCCUCAAAUGUGGAAGACUCAGCUGCAUAAUGUGGAGAAGU
rnacentral:snRNA from 1 species